rnacentral:pre_miRNA from 21 species
AGAGGUGACUGCCAUCAGCGAGGUAUAGAGUUCCUACGGUAAUCGAUUGAAACUUUGUAGGAACUUCAUACCGUGCUCUUGGAUAGCCGUUUACC